AGAUUGAAAAAUCACAGGAAGAUCAAAGAAGUAAAAUAAUUUGCCCUUCCAAGACCAUGUCAUUGAUGGUGGCUGAAUUUGAACCCAGAUAAGUACAACCCAUGUACUUCCCCACCGGACUGUCUGCCUGCCCCCUCAAGGAUCUGCUAAGGACUUGACUCUCUGUACAGAUAAUUGCUUCAAGAGAGGAAAAAGGCAGGAGGAUCUAUCUGGUACAUAGGUUUAAACUAGGCAUCUGUGCUAAACCUGAAUGGUGGAACUACUAUAUUCUAUGUAUUGAGUAGAGGUAUACCAUAUUCAACGUAUUUCUCCACUUCACACACUGUUCAAGAAUAAACCCCAUUCUGUCUCAGCUGUGGAGAUCAAUGAAAAGACUCUGUCUUCUUGCCGCCAGAUAUGUUACCUGCACUUAGAGAAUUGAAAGUGCAAAUCAAAGGAGUGUUCUUUUGGGAAGAGAGUUUUAGCGGAAAGGUCUGGAUGCUGGUGAACUGAUGAGGAAGCAGCAGUUAUUUCUGAGAUUUAACUUUGACCUGGGCUUUGAAGAGACACCCAUUCACCACUGUUGCAACUGCAUGCUUCCAGGAACUGGAGAGCAGAAGAACUUACAACUUUUGAUGAAUUCAUCAAGCAAAAGAACUCGUCCCUCGCACCACGAGGAACCCCUCAUGUCACCCUCCAGUAGCCUCCUGCUCUUACACGAGGGGCCAACAGGAACUGACCCUCAGAUCAGCCAGAGCACAGGGGCCAGUUUUUAAUAGUGAAGGAAAAUGCGAAAAUCUCAAAUAGGGACAAAAGAGAAACAUGGCUUUCUGCACAAUUGUA
rnacentral:lncRNA from 1 species